rnacentral:rRNA from 1 species
GGAAGGUCCGGGCGUUAUCCGGAUUUAUUGGGUUUAAAGGGAGCGUAGGCCGGAGAUUAAGCGUGUUGUGAAAUGUAGACGCUCAACGUCUGCACUGCAGCGCGAACUGGUUUCCUUGAGUACGCACAAAGUGGGCGGAAUUCCUAGUGUAGCGGUGAAAUGCGUAGAUAUUAGGAGGAACACCAGUGGCGAAGGCGGCUUUCUGGACGAUGACUGACGUUGAGGCUCGAAAGCGUGGGGAGCAAACAGGAUUAGAUACCCUGGUAGUCCACGCCGUAAACGAUGACUACUAGGUGUCGGGGAGCAAAGCUCUUCGGUGCCGCAGCCAACGCAAUAAGUAGUCCACCUGGGGAGU